AUGGUGGCGGCGCUGCCGCCGGCCGAGGGCCGGGGGCUGGAGGGGAGCGUUCGCGCAUGGGAGUUGGGUGGCCUCUUCUCCGUGGAGUGGAGCACCUUCAGGCGGAGGGGGAGGGAGAUUCUCCUUCGCUCCUCAGAUCGCCAACGGUGUUUGCGGCUGAUGCAAGAAAGAGCAGAGAAAAUUUUCAAGGCCCGUCCAAAUCAAGUGGAGAUCAAGAAAGUAUUGGAGGGGAUUCAUCCCGCGGAAUCAGUGGAUGGGAGUAUUGGCUUUCAAUCCUCCAGUACAGCUGCUAAUCCGGGGAACCAAUUUGUGAAUCGGCCGGCAGUUUCUAAGGAACUUAAGGCAGAUUUGAAGAACAAAGGAAAGGUGGUGGUCUUGCGUGUUCUGGGAUGA
rnacentral:rRNA from 1 species